ACUACUUUACCGCGGCUCAGGAUGAACGCUGGCGGCAUGCCUAAUACAUGCAAGUCGAACGAGAGGAAGGAAAGCUUGCUUUCCUGAAUCUAGUGGCGAACGGGUGAGUAACACGUAGGGUAACCUGCCCAUGUGCCCGGGAUAACUUCUGGAAACGGAUGCUAAAACCGCAUGAUUUGUUAUUAAAGGUUAAAAACACUGGUGGAUGGGCUUACGGUGCAUUAGCUUGUUGGUGAGGUAACGGCCCACCAAGGCGAUGAUGCAUAGCUGGUCUGAGAGGAUGAACAGCCACAUUGGGACUGAGACACGGCCCAGACUCCUACGGGAGGCAGCAGUAGGGAAUUUUCGGCAAUGGGGGAAACCCUGACCGAGCAACGCCGCGUGAGUGAAGAAGGUCUUCGGAUUGUAAAGCUCUGUUGUAAGGGAAGAAAUGUACUGUGAGAAACAGUACUUGACGGUACCUUACCAGAAAGCUACGGCUAACUACGUG
rnacentral:rRNA from 1 species